rnacentral:rRNA from 1 species
AUUGAACGCUGGCGGCAUGCCUUACACAUGCAAGUCGAACGGCAGCACGGGUGCUUGCACCUGGUGGCGAGUGGCGAACGGGUGAGUAAUACAUCGGAACAUGUCCUGUAGUGGGGGAUAGCCCGGCGAAAGCCGGAUUAAUACCGCAUACGAUCUACGGAUGAAAGCGGGGGACCUUCGGGCCUCGCGCUAUAGGGUUGGCCGAUGGCUGAUUAGCUAGUUGGUGGGGUAAAGGCCUACUAAGGCGACGAUCAGUAGCUGGUCUGAGAGGACGACCAGCCACACUGGGACUGAGACACGGCCCAGACUCCUACGGGAGGCAGCAGUGGGGAAUUUUGGACAAUGGGCGAAAGCCUGAUCCAGCAAUGCCGCGUGUGUGAAGAAGGCCUUCGGGUUGUAAAGCACUUUUGUCCGGAAAGAAAUCCUUGGCCCUAAUACGGUCGGGGGAUGACGGUACCGGAAGAAUAAGCACCGGCUAACUACGUG